AGCAUUUCGCGAUGCUGAGAGUUGAUCAACUGGUCAUUAGAGGAAGUAAAGUCGUAACAAGUUUCCGUAGGUGACCUGCGAGGAUCAUUA
rnacentral:rRNA from 1 species